ensembl:misc_RNA Y_RNA Y RNA
GGCUAGUCCAAAGGUAGUGAGUUAUCUCAACUGAGUGUUCACAAUCAGUUACAGAUAAAAUUCCUUGUUCUAUUCUUUCCCCCUUUCUCACUGCAGCACUUGAUUACUCUUUU